rnacentral:rRNA from 1 species
CCUACGGGUGGCAGCAGUGAGGAAUAUUGGUCAAUGGACGAAAGUCUGAACCAGCCAAGUAGCGUGAAGGAUGACUGCCCUAUGGGUUGUAAACUUCUUUUAUAUGGGAAUAAAAUGUUCCACGUGUGGGAUUUUGUAUGUACCAUAUGAAUAAGGAUCGGCUAACUCCGUGCCAGCAGCCGCGGUAAUACGGAGGAUCCGAGCGUUAUCCGGAUUUAUUGGGUUUAAAGGGAGCGUAGGUGGAUUGUUAAGUCAGUUGUGAAAGUUUGCGGCUCAACCGUAAAAUUGCAGUUGAAACUGGCAGUCUUGAGUACAGUAGAGGCGGGCGGAAUUCGUGGUGUAGCGGUGAAAUGCUUAGAUAUCACGAAGAACUCCGAGUGCGAAGGCAGUUCACUGGACUGCAACUGACACUGAGGCUCGAAAGUGUGGGUAUCAAACAGGAUUAGAUACCCCUGUAGUC